rnacentral:misc_RNA from 1 species
AGCAAGAUUUUGCUAUUUGAUUUAUGCUUGAAUUGCUGGAUUUAUAUGCUAAGCACACAACAAGAAGGAUCUGGCUAUUUAUCUGCACUUUAAACUUUACAGGAUACAUUUUGUUAUCGAGUGGAAUUAAAAACUAUUCAGUGCAAUUAAAAACUAUUCAGUGCCUAGUGCGUGAUGUAUUAUUUUCUCCUUGAUCAGGUUUUUGUGAAUAAGAAUUGCUUCCUUCUAUUUGAAUUCCAUUGCACGAUUUGCAGAGAGACAGUGUCUUAUAUAUAGGACAGUAUCGGUUAUGUAUUUUGGUAUGAUUAAUUCUUGUAUCCAGUGGUAUUAGUGGAAGAUGCAGAGGAGAGACAGAGAGUUCAGAGAGGUAACUGAUUUUAAUGUUGCUCAUUCAUGAUCUGAUGCAGGGUUUUAUCAGCAUUGAGCCACAAUGUUAAUCUGAAUCUUGACUGGUCACAUGGUUAGACUAACAAGCUUAAAAGAACUAAUACUGACCAGAACUUAAUUGCCAACUAAUUGGACUCACUUAGUUGAUAACUGGAUUGGUAUCCUCACAACAUAUUUCAUUUUGCCACUCCUUGAAGAAAAUCUGGAUUAACAUUAGAAUUUAGGCACUUUAUUUUCUGUAGAAAUUCUUUUAUAGUUGAAGAUUCUUUUUCUGAAGGAUAUUGUUCUCUAUUUUCAGAAAGC